ACGAGAUAAAUCAGUUGGAUCAGUGGAGA
rnacentral:piRNA from 2 species